rnacentral:rRNA from 1 species
GACCCCGGUAGUCCUAGCCCUAAACGAUGUAGACUUGGCGUCGGUGGUUUAAUCGCCAUCGGUGUCGUAGCUAACGCGAUAAGUCUACCGCCUGGGGACUACGGCCGCAAGGUUAAAACUCAAAGGAAUUGACGUGUCCCCGCACAAGCAGCGGAGCGUGUGGUUUAAUUCGAUGCUACACGAAGAACCUUACCUGGGUUUGACAUAGAGAUAGUAGGGAAGCGAAAGCGGACCGACCCUUCGGGGAGCCUCUACAGGUGUUGCAUGGCUGUCGUCAGCUCGUGUCGUGAGAUGUUCGGUUAAGUCCGCUAACGAGCGCAACCCUCGCUGUGUGUUACAAGUGUCACACGGUACUGCCGAUAUUAAGUCGGAGGAAGGUGGGGAUGACGUCAAGUCAGCAUGACCUUUAUAUCCAGGGCUACACACACGCUACAAUGGCCAGUACAAUGGGUUGCCAAGCCGCGAGGCGGAGCCAAUCCUAAAAAGCUGGCCUCAGUUCAGAUUGCAGUCUGCAACUCGACUGCAUGAAGUUGGAGUUGCUAGUAACCGCAGGUCAGCAAUACUGCGGUGAAUACGUUCCCGGGGAUUGUACACACCGCCCGUCAAGUCAUGGAAGCUGGCAACACCUGAAGCCGGUAUCCUAACCCGAAAGGGAGGGAGCUGUCGAAGGUGGGGUCGGUGACUGGGACUAAGUCGUAACAAGGUAACCGUA